rnacentral:rRNA from 1 species
CCUACGGGAGGCAGCAGUGAGGAAUAUUGGUCAAUGGGCGCGAGCCUGAACCAGCCAAGUCGCGUGAGGGAUGAAGGACCUAUGGUUUGUAAACCUCUUUUAUAAGGGAAUAAAGUGCGGCACGUGUGCCGUUUUGUAUGUACCUUAUGAAUAAGGAUCGGCUAACUCCGUGCCAGCAGCCGCGGUAAUACGGAGGAUCCGAGCGUUAUCCGGAUUUAUUGGGUUUAAAGGGUGCGUAGGCGGCUAUUUAAGUCAGCGGUGAAAGUCUGUGGCUCAACCAUAGAAUUGCCGUUGAAACUGGUUGUCUUGAGUGUGUUUGAGGUAGGCGGAAUGCGUGGUGUAGCGGUGAAAUGCAUAGAUAUCACGAAGAACUCCGAUUGCGAAGGCAGCUUGCCAAGCCACGACUGACGCUGAUGCACGAAAGUGUGGGGAUCGAACAGGAUUAGAUACCCGGGUAGUC